GACGAACGCUGGCGGCGUGCUUAACACAUGCAAGUCGAACGGAAAGGCCCUGCUUUUGUGGGGUGCUCGAGUGGCGAACGGGUGAGUAACACGUGAGUAACCUGCCCUUGACUUUGGGAUAACUUCAGGAAACUUGGGCUAAUACCGGAUAGGAGCUCCUGCUGCAUGGUGGGGGUUGGAAAGUUUCGGCGGUUGGGGAUGGACUCGCGGCUUAUCAGCUUGUUGGUUGGGUAGUGGCUUACCAAGGCUUUGACGGGUAGCCGGCCUGAGAGGGUGACCGGCCACAUUGGGACUGAGAUACGGCCCAGACUCCUACGGGAGGCAGCAGUGGGGAAUAUUGCACAAGGGGAGGAAGCCUGAUGCAGCAACGCCGCGUGCGGGAUGACGGCCUUCGGGUUGUAAACCGAUUUCGCCUGUGACGAAGCGUGAGUGACGGUAAUGGGUAAAGAAGCACCGGCUAACUACGUG
rnacentral:rRNA from 1 species